rnacentral:rRNA from 1 species
GAUGAACGCUGGCGGCGUGCCUAAUACAUGCAAGUCGAGCGAACGGACGAGAAGCUUGCUUCUCUGAUGUUAGCGGCGGACGGGUGAGUAACACGUGGAUAACCUACCUAUAAGACUGGGAUAACUUCGGGAAACCGGAGCUAAUACCGGAUAAUAUUUUGAACCGCAUGGUUCAAAAGUGAAAGACGGUCUUGCUGUCACUUAUAGAUGGAUCCGCGCUGCAUUAGCUAGUUGGUAAGGUAACGGCUUACCAAGGCAACGAUGCGUAGCCGACCUGAGAGGGUGAUCGGCCACACUGGAACUGAGACACGGUCCAGACUCCUACGGGAGGCAGCAGUAGGGAAUCUUCCGUAAUGGGCGAAAGCCUGACGGAGCAACGCCGCGUGAGUGAUGAAGGUCGUCGGAUCGGAAAACUCUGUUAUUAGGGAAGAACAUAUGUGUAAGUAACUGUGCACAUCUUGACGGGACCUAAUCAGAAAGCCACGGCUAACUACG